rnacentral:rRNA from 1 species
GAUGAACGCUGGCGGCGUGCUUAACACAUGCAAGUCGAACGGUGAAGGCGGAGCUUGCUCUGCUGGAUCAGUGGCGAACGGGUGAGUAACACGUGAGCAAUCUGCCCCUGACUCUGGGAUAAGCGCUGGAAACGGCGUCUAAUACUGGAUACGAGCUGCGAAGGCAUCUUCAGCAGCUGGAAAGAACUUCGGUCAGGGAUGAGCUCGCGGCCUAUCAGCUUGUUGGUGAGGUAACGGCUCACCAAGGCGUCGACGGGUAGCCGGCCUGAGAGGGUGACCGGCCACACUGGGACUGAGACACGGCCCAGACUCCUACGGGAGGCAGCAGUGGGGAAUAUUGCACAAUGGGCGAAAGCCUGAUGCAGCAACGCCGCGUGAGGGACGACGGCCUUCGGGUCGUAAACCUCUUUUAGCAGGGAAGAAGCGAAAGUGACGGUACCUGCAGAAAAAGCGCCGGCUAACUACGUG